CUCACCACCACCUAUUUAUGAAAAUUGUGCACGUAUCAAUUUGUUUAUGAAAAAAAAAACAAAGGAAUCCAGCCUACGCGUGGGUGCCAGUUUGAAGAUUAAGUUAAUGUUACUUGUAGUAAAAAUUUAAGAUUUCAAAUGGUUCAAUAUUUAAUAUUUAUCAAGAUUCAUCUAUUGCCUGUACUUGCAGCAUCUCGGUUUCCCUUAUUCGUCAUCAUUCCGGAUUGGCUGGCCAUUGAACUGCGUGAUAAUACCGUUGUUGGAGGUAUUCUUUGUCUGAUAAUUGGAGUAACACUUGUUAUAAUGGAGAUUGGACAGAUUGGACUUACUGACUGGAGAUGUAAUGUAGGGUGCUGGUUUUCUUUUAUUAUUUUAUCAUUGAUUUUCUAUUUCCCAAUAUUAUAUCUGUCUUCGGGAUCAAAAGCAAUCCCUAAAACCUAAAAACAAAUGGAUUUCUUCCGUGUGGUACUUUCGUGUUUUCGUCUAUGCUAUGCACAUUUGGUUUGAAAUGUGUUCUUUAGCCUUGUCAUUCUCCUUUGUUUUGAGCCUGUGAAACGACAUUUCCUUGUACCAUUUCCCUUCAUUUUAGACGGGUUUCUAUUUCCUAAUUACGUCGUACCUAAUUACGUCGUAUAAUUUGAAUUUGUUAGUUGUGUUCUAAGAGGUAGCAUGGAAUAAAAUGUUGGAUAUUUGAUUAGCUAGUUACAAUUCACAUGUCACAAGGCACGAACCA
rnacentral:lncRNA from 1 species